CCUGUUCUAAUGCAGUAUGAAGCUGAUAAUGCAUUAUAAAGCUGUUCUGAUGCAGUAUGAAGCUGUUCUGAUGCAGUAUGACCUUAUGAAGCUGUUCUGAUGCAGUAUGAAGCUGUUCUGAUGCAGUAUGACCUUAUGAAGCUGUUCUGAUGCAGUGUGACGCUGUUCUGAUGCAGUAUGACACUGUUCUGAUGCAGUAUGAAGCUGUUCUGAUGCAGUAUGAAGCUGUUCUGAUGCAGUACGACACUGUUCUGAUGCAGUAUGACCUGUUCUAAUGCAGUAUGAAGCUGUUCUGAUGCAGUACGACACUGUUCUGAUGCAGUAUGACCUGUUCUAAUGCAGUAUGAAGCUGUUCUGAUGCAGUAUGACCUGUUCUGAUGCAGUAUGAAGCUGUUCUGAUGCAGUAUGACCUGUUCUAAUGCAGUAUGAAGCUGAUAAUGCAUUAUAAAGCUGUUCUGAUGCAGUAUGACCUGUUCUGAUGCAGUAUGAAGCUGUUCUGAUGCAGUAUGACCUGUUCUAAUGCAGUAUGAAGCUGAUAAUGCAUUAUAAAGCUGUUCUGAUGCAGUAUGACCUGUUCUGAUGCAGUACGACGCUGUUCUGAUGCAGUACGACGCUGUUCUGAUGCAGUAUGAAGCUGUUCUGAUGCAGUAUGACCUGUUCUGAUG
rnacentral:lncRNA from 1 species